rnacentral:rRNA from 1 species
CGCGAACGGGUGAGUAACACGUGGGUAACCUACCCCAAUGACCGGGACAACUCGGGGAAACUCGAGCUAAUACCGGAUGUGUUCCUUCUCUUUGAGGAGAAGGAGCAAAGGUAGCUUCGGCCUCCGCAUUGGGAUGGGCCCGCGGCCCAUUAGCUUGUUGGUGGGGUAAUGGCCUACCAAGGCUGCGAUGGGUAGCUGGUCUGAGAGGACGAUCAGCCACACUGGGACUGAGACACGGCCCAGACUCCUACGGGAGGCAGCAGUGGGGAAUCUUGCGCAAUGCACGAAAGUGUGACGCAGCAACGCCGCGUGAGGGAAGAAGGCCUUCGGGUUGUAAACCUCUUUCAGUUGGGACGAAGCUUCGUGGGCUUAAUAGCUCACUGGAGUGACGGUACCUUCAGAAGAAGCCCCGGCUAACUACGUGCCAAGCAGCCGC